rnacentral:tRNA from 1 species
AGCAGUGUGGCGUAGUGGUAAGGAGCAGAGCUUUUAACCCAAAGGUUGCUGGUUCGAUUCCCCAUUGGGG